rnacentral:rRNA from 1 species
CCCUUAGACGUUCUGGGCCGCACGCGCACUACACUGACGAAGGCAACGAGCUUUCCUUUACCGAAAGGUACGGGUAAUCUUUUGAAACUUCGUCGUGCUGGGGAUAGAUCCUUGCAAUUAUUGAUCUUAAACGAGGAAUUCCUAGUAAGCGCAAGUCAUCAACUUGCGUUGAUUACGUCCCUGCCCUUUGUACACACCGCCCGUCGCUACUACCGAUUGAAUGGUUUAGUGAGGCCUUCGGAUCCGCGACUCGUUUUGUGGAGAAGUUGGACAAACUCAGUCAUUUAGAGGAAGUAAAAGUCGUAACA